CGCUAUCACUCCUACGGGGAGGCAGCAGUAGGGAAUCUUCACAAUGGGCGCAAGCCUGAUGGAGCAACACCGCGUGAGUGAAGAAGGGUUUCGGCUCGUAAAGCUCUGUUGUUAAAGAAGAACACGUAUGAGAGUAACUGUUCAUACGUUGACGGUAUUUAACCAGAAAGUCACGGCUAACUACGUGCCAGCAGCCGCGGUAAUACGUAGGUGGCAAGCGUUAUCCGGAUUUAUUGGGCGUAAAGAGAGUGCAGGCGGUUUUCUAAGUCUGAUAUGAAAGCCUUCGGCUUAACCGGAGAAGUGCAUCGGAAACUGGAUAACUUGAGUGCAGAAGAGGGUAGUGGAACUCCAUGUGUAGCGGUGGAAUGCGUAGAUAUAUGGAAGAACACCAGUGGCGAAGGCGGCUACCUGGUCUGCAACUGACGCUGAGACUCGAAAGCAUGGGUAGCGAACAGGAUUAGAUACCCUGGUAG
rnacentral:rRNA from 1 species